rnacentral:tRNA from 1 species
GCCUGGGUGGCUCAGUGGGUUAAGUGUCUGACUUCGGCUCAGGUCAUGAUCUCGCGGUUUGUGGGUUCGAGCCCCGCAUCGGGCU